rnacentral:rRNA from 1 species
AGCGAACGCUGGCGGCAGGCUUAACACAUGCAAGUCGAGCGGGCACUUUCGGGUGUCAGCGGCGGACGGGUGCGUAACGCGAGGGAACGUGCCCUCUGGUUCGGAAUAACUCAGGGAAACUUGAGCUAAUACCGGAUACGCCCUAUUGGGGAAAGGCUUGCUGCCGGAGGAUCGGCCCGCGUCUGAUUAGCUAGUUGGUGAGGUAACGGCUCACCAAGGCGACGAUCAGUAGCUGGUCUGGGAGGAUGAUCAGCCACACUGGGACUGAGACACGGCCCAGACUCCUACGGGAGGCAGCAGUGGGGAAUAUUGGACAAUGGGCGCAAGCCUGAUCCAGCCAUGCCGCGUGAGUGAUGAAGGCCGUAGGGUUGUAAAGCUCUUUUAUCCGGGACGGUAAUGACGGUACCGGAGGAAUAAGCCCCGGCUAACUUCGUG